CCUCCCUCCCGCCUGCCCCGCCGGGACGGGACGGGACGGGGCAGGACGGGACGUCCCGUUCCGACCGCCCCCCAACCCCAUCCCGCUGGGCUUUCCUGUCGGGGGGACUUGUGUUUCCUCUUGAGCUGAGGCGGGCCAGCCGCGGGAGAUGGGAAAGUAGAAUGCCCUCCAGCUGGAAUUUUCCAAAGCCAAUGGAAGAGAAGACAAAUUAGUAACCCUGGGAAGACAGAACCCUGCAGCAACAUGACAUGUUUUGGCAUUCCCUUGUUUUCCUUUAUUUGGGUGCAGUUGUUACUACUUGCUGGAACAUGAAAUGCUUUGUCAGCUC